CCCUUAGAUGUUCUGGGCCGCACGCGCGUUACACUGAUGCAUUCAACGAGUGCUACCUUGGCCGAGAGGCCUGGGCAAUCUUUUAAACGUGCAUCGUGAUAGGGAUAGAUUAUUGCAAUUAUUAAUCUUGAACGAGGAAUUCCUAGUAAACGCAAAUCAUCAAUUUGCAUUGAUUACGUCCCUGCCCUUUGUACACACCGCCCGUCGCACCUACCGAUUGAAUGGUCCGGUGAAGCCUCGGGAUUGUGGCCAGUUCACUUUAUUGGGAGUUGGCUGCGAGAACUUGUCUAAACCUUAUCAUUUAGAGGAAGGUGAAGUCGUAACA
rnacentral:rRNA from 1 species